AAAAUAAUAUAAAUAGAUAGAAGUUCAUACCUAAUAUGUGAUAGAGAUGUAUUUGUGUUGAAAUUUGUGAAGAUUAGGUUGAAAAAUAAAAAAUAUAUGAAGACUAUGUUAAAAUUUGUGAAUGUUAGAAUGAGAAGUUAGAAAUAUAUAAGGAUUUCAAUGGCAAUAUAAUAGUGGGAAAAUAAAUAAAAUUUGAUAAGCAUAAGCCAGCUUUAAAAAGCUUCCGCUUAGGUGCUUUCAAAAGCACCCCUAACUUUACCAAACGCAAAAUUAGGUGCUUGUGCUUUCGGCCUUUCGCCUCUUGAAAAAGCUUUCCCAAACCCAGCCUAACACAACUCCAGCCUUUUAGAACACAGCUUAAUUCAAAGGGAGAGGUCAAAACAUAUAUUGUUUCCAUUCUAGCUACUACAGCUGCAUUAAUUUCUCUUCAUACUUCAUAUAAACUUCUAAUUUUCAUGUUCCCAUGCUGCUCAUGACAAUUGGAUUUGCUGUAUGUUUUCGGGCAGAGAAAAGAAUAUUGCUAAGUGCUAACCAUAACCUCUUAAGUUUUCCAGUGCAACCAAUUUUUCAUCUUUAAUCAUUCUUCUUUCAAAUCCAUGAGCAAUGUCAGCAGUAAAACACAGUAAGCAUAUCAGGGAUACAGUUCAUCUUAUGUGGACAUGCACACAUGUCAAUCUGCUUUUCUAUAUUGUUUUGGCUCACAGGUGUGUUUGUGAAUUUUGAUUUUGGAAGGUAAGAGACAAAAAGGAAGAGCUUAAAGUGUUCAGUUCAUCUUACAAUCAACCUUUCCCUUCCCUUCUGUACUCUCCAUUUGGAGAAGACAGAAAAUAACAGACAAAAAUGUCUCCAUCAGGAGACAAUUUAGUCCACUAAAAUAAUUGGAACUUUUAUUUUUAUUUUUUGGAUAAACUAAAAGACUGGGGAUAAUUGGGGCGGAGACAACAAUUGUUUCGGUGUCUCUUUAUUUUCUGUCUUGAGACACUUAUAGGUAGUUUGUGAAUUUGAUACUGGAGGGGAGAGGAAGGUAAGGAAUUUAUACUACAGGAUUUCCCUCCUUCCCCCUCAAAAAUACUAAGUCACAAACAAACCCAUACCAAACACAGCCUACUGAAUCACAAGAAUACUACUAACCACAACUUCCAAAAUUUUCCAGCACAACCAACUUUUGCUUCUUAAAUCAUCUUUCUUUUGAAUGUAUUGAAAAGUAUCAACACUAAAGCAGUAAGCACAGUCAAUGAAACAGUUAUUCCCUCUUCACCAAACAACUCAGUCAUUUAGAACAAAGCUUAUUUGAAAGGGAUAAAAGUUAUAAAAGAAGAUGCAUUCACCUUCCAAGAUAGAUAAAUAUUCAAUGCAUAAGCUGCACAUACUUUCACCACUUUCAAUUUCCACAAUCUUUCCAUUAUUUUCAAAUUCUACUGAGACCCCGAAAAAUAAAUAAAAAAAUUAACUAACUCAUGGACUACUCAAUUUUAAAGGGAUCCUGUAUCAACAGACAGGAAAAACCUAGAUGAGUUUCUCAUGCUCAAAGAAACAAGCACAGACAAAAAA